GGGAGCGCGUGGGGUCUCGCGGGAGCGCGGGGCGCUAUUUAAGGCGCGGUGAGGCCCUACUUGCCCUCUCUGUCCGUCGGACGUGGGCGUGUGUGUCCCGAGGUAUCGGCGAGUCCUUCAAAUGCCCCCGAUGAGCAGGAGGCCGAGCGCGGCAGGCCUGGGCAGGGGGAAGCGCUGGCAAUCUGCGCGCACACCUUUGGACGCCUAUGGAGGCCUCACUUAGCAACCUCAUGCAUGAAAUGUUCUAGACAUGGUUAAUCACACCUAAAUGUGAAACAAUGCUCAGGACUUCUUAGGAAUAAAUAAUGCCUUCUGCUGGAAGGGAUGAAAACAGCAUGUGCCAGGACUUGAACUGACAUUAGACAUCAGUUUAUGAUUUCCUGAGUGGAUGAUUUCUGACUUCAGACAAGAUGAUUCCAGUUGUCACCUCUAAAGUAUUGUCUUGGAAGUAGAAUUGAGACAAGCGAUGGCUAAAAUUAUGUCUUCAAUGAUCAUGUUUAAACAGGCACCUCGCCAUUUGUUGAAACAGGUUUCCUAACAAAAACUACUGUAAUUUGACUGUGGAUUCAUUGAAAUAAAAUAUGAGUAUGUUAACAAAA